rnacentral:ncRNA from 1 species
ACACAAUGUGAUUUCUGCCCAGUGCUCUGAAUGUCAAAGUGAAGAAAUUCAAGUAAGCGCGGGUAAACGGCGGGAGUAACUAUGACUCUCUUGGAGAGCAUUUUUACAUGUGUCUACUCUUACCUCCUCGUGGUCCCGCUGGUAACGUUGAUGACAUGAAA